AGUUAAUUAGCAACAAUGCAUAUAUUUUGAAAAUAUAAUCUAGAAAUUAAAAUUUUCUAUUAACUU
rnacentral:tRNA from 1 species